rnacentral:rRNA from 1 species
GACGGAGGGUGCAAGCGUUAUUCGGAAUCAUUGGGCGUAAAGAGUGUGUAGGCGGCCGGUUAAGUCAGGUGUGAAAGCCCAGGGCUCAACCCUGGAAGUGCACUUGAAACUGGUCGGCUUGAGUUCGGGAGAGGGUAGCGGAAUUCCUGGUGUAGAGGUGAAAUUCGUAGAUAUCAGGAGGAACACCGGUGGCGAAGGCGGCUACCUGGACCGAAACUGACGCUGAGAAACGAAAGCGUGGGGAGCAAACAGG